UACGUAGGGGGGCGAGCGUUGUCCGGAUUUAUUGGGCGUAAAGAGCUCGUAGGCGGUUUGGCAAGUCGGGUGUGAAAACUCCGGGCUCAACUCGGAGACGCCACUCGAUACUGCCAUGACUCGAGUCCGGUAGGGGAGUGCGGAAUUCCUGGUGUAGCGGUGAAAUGCGCAGAUAUCAGGAGGAACACCGGUGGCGAAGGCGGCACUCUGGGCCGGUACUGACGUGAGGAGCGAAAGCGUGGGGAGCGAACAGG
rnacentral:rRNA from 1 species